rnacentral:rRNA from 1 species
AUUGAACGCUGGCGGCAUGCCUUACACAUGCAAGUCGAACGGUAACAGGUCUUCGGAUGCUGACGAGUGGCGAACGGGUGAGUAAUACAUCGGAACGUGCCUAGUAGUGGGGGAUAACUACUCGAAAGGGUGGCUAAUACCGCAUGAGGUCUACGGAUGAAAGCAGGGGAUCGCAAGACCUUGUGCUACUAGAGCGGCCGAUGGCAGAUUAGGUAGUUGGUGGGAUAAAAGCUUACCAAGCCGACGAUCUGUAGCUGGUCUGAGAGGACGAUCAGCCACACUGGGACUGAGAAACGGCCCAGACUCCUACGGGAGGCAGCAGUGGGGAAUUUUGGACAAUGGGCGCAAGCCUGAUCCAGCAAUGCCGCGUGCAGGAUGAAGGCCUUCGGGUUGUAAACUGCUUUUGUACGGAACGAAAAGCCCCGGGUUAAUACCCUGGGGUCAUGACGGUACCGUAAGAAUAAGCACCGGCUAACUACGUGCCAGCCGCCGCCGUAA